UACGUAGGGUGCGAGCGUUAAUCGGAAUUACUGGGCGUAAAGCGUGCGCAGGCGGCGCCGCAAGUCAGGCGUGAAAUCCCCGAGCUUAACUUGGGAAUGGCGCUUGAAACUACGGUGCUGGAGUGUGGCAGAGGGAGGUGGAAUUCCACGUGUAGCGGUGAAAUGCGUAGAUAUCGGGAGGAAUACCGAUGGCGAAGGCAGGUCUCUGGGCUAUAACUGACGCUCAUGCACGAAAGCGUGGGGAGCAAACAGG
rnacentral:rRNA from 1 species